AAAAUCCUUACAUGAAUAUUAGUUACAAAUAUUUCAAUGCAGCAUACUUGCAUUGAGCUGCUAAGCACGAAGCAGUAAGUGGUUAUGUAUAUAGCGACUUUAGGAAUUGUUGCAGGCUGAGAACGAGCGACUAAACGGUUUGGAGGAUAACUGAUUUAGGGACUUUCUUUAUACCUCUAUAAAAUCGAAGUAAGGCGAUUGAGGGCGAAUGCUAGGGCAGUUAUUAGCAGAUUUACACUAAGUAAAGUAAAGAAAGAGG
rnacentral:sRNA from 12 species